GUGGGGAAUAUUGGGCAAUGGGCGAAAGCCUGACCCAGCAACGCCGCGUGAAGGAAGAAGGUUUUCGGAUCGUAAACUUCUAUCCUUGGUGAAGAUAAUGACGGUAGCCAAGAAGGAAGCCCCGGCUAACUACGUGCCAGCAGCCGCGGUAAUACGUAGGGGGCGAGCGUUGUCCGGAAUGAUUGGGCGUAAAGGGCGCGUAGGCGGCCCGGUAAGUCUGAAGUGAAAGUCCUGCUUUUAAGGUGGGAAUUGCUUUGGAUACUGUCGGGCUUGAGUGCAGGAGAGGUAAGCGGAAUUCCCGAUGUAGCGGUGAAAUGCGUAGAGAUCGGGAGGAACACCAGUGGCGAAGGCGGCUUACUGGACUGUAACUGACGCUGAGGCGCGAAAGUGUGGGGAGCAAACAGGAUUAGAUACCCUUGUAGUCC
rnacentral:rRNA from 1 species